CGGCAUGCCUAAUACAGUAGCAAGUCGAAUGGGAAAGGCUUGCUUCCCAUGGCGAACGGGUGAGUAACACGUAGGUAACCUACCUUAAGGACGAGGAGUAACCUUGGAAACGAAGGAUAAUACUGGAUAGGACAUUAUAAAAGCACAUGGCUUAAAUGUUUAAAGGAGCAAUCCACCAUAAGAGGGGCCUGCGGCGCAUUAGCUAGUUGGUGAGGUAAGGGCCCACCAAAGGCGAUGAUGCGUAGCUGGACUGAGAGGUUGAACAGCCACAAUGGGACUGAGAACGGCCCAUACUCCUACGGGAGGCAGCAGUAGGGAAUUUUCGGCAAUGGGCGAAAAGCCUGACCGAGACCAAUGCCGCGUGAACGAAGAAGUAUUUCGGUAUGUAAAGUUCUUUUAUCAGGGAAGAAAAAACAAAUUGACUGAACCUGAUGAAUAAGCUCCGGCUAACUACGUGCCAGCAGCAGC
rnacentral:rRNA from 1 species